GGGGGGGGAGCAGCGGAAAGGGAAGGGAGGUGGUUAGGUUAAAUUAGGUUAGGUUAGGUUGUCAAAGAGUAAGAGGAAGAGCAAAGAGUUAAGGAUAAGUUUUUAGGGUCAGAUUAGGUUAGGUUAGGUUACGUUGUUAAAGAGUAAGAGAUAGAGAAAAGAGUUCAGGAUAAGUUUUUAGAUUAGGUUAGGUUAGGUUACGUUGUUAAAGAGUUAGAGAUAGAGAAAAGAGUUCAGGAUAAGUUUUUAGAUUAGGUUAGGUUAGGUUACGUUGUUAAAGAGUUAGAGAUAGAGAAAAGAGUUCAGGAUAAGUUUUUAGGUUAGGUUAGGUUAGGUUACGUUGUUAAGCGUUUAGAUAUGUUUUCCCUAAAAAAGCGAAGGAUAAGAGGGGACUUAAUUGAAGUGUUCAAAAUCCUUAAUGGAUUCGACAACAUUAACCCAGAUAGUCUAUUUCAGAGAGACACCAACACAAUAACACGCAGCAACGGAAUGAAGUUAAAGGGAAAUCGAUGUAACACAUUGGUGCGCAGAAGUUUUUUCAAUAACAGAGUCGUCGAUCACUGGAAUAGACUCCCACCGUCAGUAGUUAGCGCACAGAGUAUCAAUAGCUUUAAGUCUUCUUUGGAUAAGUACUCCAGGGAUAUAAGAUUAUACUGACCCUUUCUCGCACGUUUUCAGACAGAUUGCAGCAAGACCUCAACCUAUAUGCAUAUAAUUCUCCCCCACAACCUAGAUUGCAAGUAGCAAAAGUCAACAAUAGAGUACAGCAACAGUUAAUGUCCGCAUGACAGGUGGAGUGAGGUGUGGGUGCAGUAAGGUGACAGGUUACUGGUGCGUGCCUAGUACCGCCGGUAAAACGAGGAUCAAGCCUCCACCUGUGCCCCUGAAACUACACCUCACCCAUCGUGAGUAUUAGGGGGGAUUCUGGGGCUGCCCUGUGUAGGCCACUCGGCCUC